rnacentral:rRNA from 1 species
GAUGAACGCUGGCGGCGUGCCUAAUACAUGCAAGUCGAGCGAACAGACGAGGAGCUUGCUCCUCUGACGUUAGCGGCGGACGGGUGAGUAACACGUGGAUAACCUACCUAUAAGACUGGGAUAACUUCGGGAAACCGGAGCUAAUACCGGAUAAUAUAUUGAACCGCAUGGUUCAAUAGUGAAAGACGGUUUUGCUGUCACUUAUAGAUGGAUCCGCGCCGCAUUAGCUAGUUGGUAAGGUAACGGCUUACCAAGGCAACGAUGCGUAGCCGACCUGAGAGGGUGAUCGGCCACACUGGAACUGAGACACGGUCCAGACUCCUACGGGAGGCAGCAGUAGGGAAUCUGCCGCAAUGGGCGAAAGCCUGACGGAGCAACGCCGCGUGAGUGAUGAAGGUCUUCGGAUCGUAAAACUCUGUUAUUAGGAAGAACAAAUGUGUAAGUAACUAUGCACGUCUUGACGGUACCUAAUCAGAAAGCCACGGCUAACUACGUG